rnacentral:rRNA from 1 species
UACGGAGGAUGCGAGCGUUAUCCGGAAUGAUUGGGCGUAAAGGGUGCGCAGGCGGUCCUGCAAGUCUGGAGUGAAACGUAUGAGCUCAACUCAUGCAUGGCUCUGGAAACUGGAGGACUGGAGAGCAGGAGAGGGCGGUGGAACUCCAUGUGUAGCGGUAAAAUGCGUAGAUAUCAGGAGGAACACCAGUGGCGAAGGCGGCUUACUGGACUGUAACUGACGUUGAGGCUCGAAAGCGUGGGGAGCAAACAGG